rnacentral:rRNA from 1 species
CCUACGGGUGGCAGCAGUGAGGAAUAUUGGUCAAUUGACGAGAGUCUGAACCAGCCAAGUAGCGUGAAGGAUGACUGCCCUAUGGGUUGUAAACUUCUUUUAUAUGGGAAUAAAAUGUUCCACGUGUGGGAUUUUGUAUGUACCAUAUGAAUAAGGAUCGGCUAACUCCGUGCCAGCAGCCGCGGUAAUACGGAGGAUCCGAGCGUUAUCCGGAUUUAUUGGGUUUAAAGGGAGCGUAGGUGGAUUUUUAAGUCAGUUGUGAAAGUUUGCGGCUCAACCGUAAAAUUGCAGUUGAAACUGGCAGUCUUGAGUACAGUAGAGGUGGGCGGAAUUCGGGGUGUAGCGGUGAAAUGCUUAGAUAUCACGAAGAACUCCGAUUGCGAAGGCAGUUCACUGGACUGCAACUGACACUGAGGCUCGAAAGUGUGGGUAUCAAACAGGAUUAGAUACCCUGGUAGUC